UACGAAGGGUGCAAGCGUUACUCGGAAUUACUGGGCGUAAAGCGUGCGUAGGUGGUUCGUUAAGUCUGAUGUGAAAGCCCUGGGCUCAACCUGGGAAUGGCAUUGGAAACUGGCGACCUAGAGUGCGGUAGAGGGUAGUGGAAUUCCCGGUGUAGCAGUGAAAUGCGUAGAUAUCAGGAGGAACACCGGUGGCGAAGGCGCACACCUGGCCCGAUACUGACGCUGAGGCGCGAAAGCUAGGGGAGCAAACGGG
rnacentral:rRNA from 1 species